GUCUAUGGCCAUGCUACCCUGAACAAGCCCGAUCCUGUCUGUUCUCAGAGGCUAAGCAGGGUCAGGCCUGGUUAAUACUUGGAUGAGAGGCCACUUAGGAAGACCAGGUGCUGUAGGCA
rnacentral:rRNA from 1 species